rnacentral:rRNA from 1 species
UACGUAGGUGACCAGCGUUGUCCGGAUUUACUGGGCGUAAAGAGCGCGCAGGCGGUCGUUCACGUCGAGUGUGAAAGCCCCCGGCUCAACUGGGGAGGGUCAUUCGAUACUGAUCGACUCGAAGGCAGGAGAGGGAAGCGGAAUUCCCGGUGUAGUGGUGAAAUGCGUAGAUAUCGGGAGGAACACCAGUGGCGAAGGCGGCUUCCUGGCCUGUUCUUGACGCUGAGGCGCGAAAGCUAGGGGAGCAAACGGG